AAGCUCGUAGUUGGAUUUCUGCUGGAAGCAGCCAGUCCGCCCUCAGGGGUGUGCACUUGGUGAAUUCUAGCAUCCUUCUGGAUUUCUCCACACUUCAUUGUGUGGAGCUUUUUCCAGGACUUUUACUUUGAGAAAAUUAGAGUGUUUCAAGCAGGCUUGUCGCCUUGAAUACUGCAGCAUGGAAUAAUAAGAUAGGAUUUCGGCCCUAUUUUGUUGGUUUCUAGGACUGAAGUAAUGAUUAAUAGGGACGGUUGGGGGCAUUCGUAUUUAACUGUCAGAGGUGAGAUUCUUAGAUUUGUUAAAGACGAACUACUGCGAAAGCAUUUGCCAAAGAUGUUUUCAUUAAUCAAGAACGAAAGUUAGGGGCUCGAAGACGAUCAGAUACCGUCGUAGUCUUAACCAUAAACUAUGCCGACUAGAGAUAGGAAAACGUCAUGCUUGACUUCUCCUGCAC
rnacentral:rRNA from 1 species